ACCGGCUAACUCCGUGCCAGCAGCCGCGGUAAAUACGGGAGGGGUGCGAGCGUUAAUCGGAAUUACUGGGGCGUAAAGCGCAUGCAGGCGGCCUGUUAAGUCAGAUGUGAAAGCCCGGGGCUUAACCUCGGAAUUGCAUUUGAAACUGGCAGGCUAGAGUCUUGUAGAGGGGGGUAGGAAUUUCAGGUGUAGCGGUGAAAUGCGUAGAGAUCUGAAGGAAUACCAGUGGCGAAGGCGGCCCCCUCGGACAAAGACUGACGCUCAGAUGCGAAAGCGUGGGGAGCAAACAGGAUUAGAUACCCUGGUAG
rnacentral:rRNA from 1 species